ensembl:lincRNA
CUCCCCUCCAUCCUCUCUUUCUCUACCUCCUCUCCCUCCUCCUCUACUUCUCCCUCCAUCCUCUCUGUCUACCCCUCCACAUUCAUCCCUUAAUAUUCCCGUCAGCGAAGCGAUGGGUUGUAUUUGCUGGUAUACACAUAUGUACAAAUAUGAUGAAUAUUAAUAAAUACAGCUAUAUAGGUGACGUGACUACACACUGCUGGACAUCAGUCAGAUAUAGGAAUGACAAUAAUGACACACGGACAAAAUAACAGUUGAACAAAGAAGUAUUAAAAUGUGCUUACAGUAAUUGACAGGAAUGCUGAAAGGAGUUCAAAAGAAAACUUCAGUUUCAAAUAUGAGGUUUAAAAAAGAGACACCUGGAGAUGGCAAUGAGGCAGACUGACAAGUUGCAAGCAGGUAACACAGACAAUAACCAGAAAAAAACAGACGAUGGAAGGUUCAGAAAAUGGACAAGAACAGGAGAAUUGAGGGACAACGACAUGUGGAGGUUCGUGAGGCAGCGACAGGUAAGACGAGUACAUACAGAGCCCCUUGCAGGAAGCCCUUCGCGACACGCGAGCCUGUGGUGCUCACCGCCCUCAGGUGUUCACCGUGACUGGAACUCACCUUUCUAGAUCGACUCUCUCUCUCUCCUUUUCUUCUCUGCGACCUUGCUGAACCCUUGAGCCGUCCGGACAACGCAUCACUAACUCUUGGGUCCUUGUUUUCAGAACAUACGGCUCAGGCCUCACCGCGAGGCAUAUAAAGUAAAAAUGGCAUGUGGGUUGGUGCUCGAUCCGCGGCGAGACUUCCCAGCCUGGCUUUCGACCCAGGGCGUCAGUACCCGUGUGGCCCAGGCUGUGGAGCGGGAGUUGGGGAUUGGAGAUUACGAGGCACUGUUGGCAUGUGCAGAGAGUGCACAGGUUCGCUCUGAGCUGUUUGUGCUGGCCCGGGAGCGCCUUUCCUUCGCCACGUACGCCGUGCUGAGACGUGCCGUUGAGGGUUUAGCAUUCAGUCGUCAGGGCGGUGUCGAGGCACCCCACGGGGUCGAUGCCCUGGGCCUUCAACCAUUCCUGAGUGGCCUGCUAGAAUCGAUGGUGGUUCUGUUGACCAGCGUGAGUCAGGAACUCUCACUCUCUGCGCAAAGACUCGGCUCUCUUGAAUUAUAUGCCGGCGUGUUGGAAGGAAGUGAAGAAUGUCUCAGGACCUCACCUGUAGAUGUUGCAGACCAAGUUAUAACACCGACAGAGAGAGCUCAGAAUGAAGAGGACCCUGAAGAACUGAUUCCUCAACCGAAUACCAGUCCCUCUCCAUCCUGGCAGGGAGUGAGGAUAAAGUCUGAGCCUGCUUUUGAAGGUACAAUGUACCUGAAUUUGGGCUGAUUUAUUUAAUGCACAUAAUCAUUGUUAUAAAAUGUACUCCAGUAUUUAGGUUGUAGUUAUUACUUCUGUUCAUUUCGUUUGAUUUAAGAAUGAGAUACAAACCACUAAUUUAGUCUGCAACAGCUCGGCCCUAUAUCUCAGUGGUGAAGAAUCACUUUAAAAAUUCUAGUAUCCGGAUCUUCACCAAAAUCUAAUAAUUUUGUCCUUGUCACACAUCAACCUCUCUACCAAACUUCAUCCGAAUCCGUCCACAACGUUUUGAGAUAUCCUGUAAACAGACAAACAAACAAACUGACAGAUAGACAGGGGUGAAGACAUAACCUCCGUCCACCUUCGGUGGCGUCGGUAACUAAGCGAGCAGUUGAGUAGGCUCUCAAAAUUAUUCAAAUAUCCCAUGAUGAUGCUGAAGCACAAGGUCGACUGCUUUCACCUCGCAUACAGGUGAAUGGUCUCUCUUUUUUUUUUUUAAACCACCUCUUUGAUAUUGCUCGCUCAAUCAUUCAGCCUUCCCUAUCUAUGCCAGGAUGAUGAUGCCUGCGUUCUUCCAGUAAUCUCCUCCUGGUUAAACUUCCAAAAUCCAGGUUGACUGCACUCCUCAAGUCUUUAAUUCCUCACUUCUCCUGUCUAUGGAACUACUUUCCAGUUCCAGAGGCUGUCUUGUCUCGCUCUCCCUGACAGGACUUCAAGCAAUGAGUGUACCAUCAUCUCUUAUCAUCCUCAGUUAUGUUCCAUGAUCUUUAUUACCCCAUUCCUGACAUUCUGACUCAUGAUCUGAACCCAACCAUCUUAUUUGCUAGUUUCAGUGUUUCCUCCUCUCCUCUUCUCCUGUUAAUUCAUUUCCAUGAUGUGUGUCCCACUGUCAGUUCUACUUUGCUCUUCCAUGAGCCUCGCUCCUGUAAAAACAGGAUAAUAAUAAUAAUAAACCAAUGUAACCCGCAGGGUGACCCGUAUCUUGCCAAAAGGUGACCACGUGUGACUUCUUUAAGGUCACACUGAGGUGAACAGAGCUGCUAUCCACCAGGAGCGACUCCUUGAGGAAUAUCUGCCUACGAGAGAUUCCGAUGAGAAUCGUUUUACAGAGUAACCAUGAAAAAUAUGUGUUUGUCUCAUAACGUCACCAAAUGACGUCAUGUCUCAAGCUUGACAUAUCUAGAAAGCACUCAUCGAGGUGUUCAAUUUGAGGUACUACACGAUAUGGUUCCUAAAACUUGAAAAUUUGACCUUGGGGUCAAAUAUGUUUGACCUCAGGCGCUAUAACCAUGAAGGUCAAGGCCAAUCGCCACCAAAAACUAAUCAGCUGAGCGCCAGACCAUAUAUUAUAUUCCCAC